rnacentral:misc_RNA from 1 species
AAAAAUAAUCAAACCAAAACGGCAAUAUUUGAAUGGAAAAAAAAUGUUAGGUGUUGAUCACAAACUCGAUGACCAAGCACUUACGUGUUGAUUUCAUUGAAUCCUUCACCUGGACUCCAGUGUCUACAUGUUGUACAACUGCUUCCAAGGGACGAUCUCCCAGCCAAGGCAGCAACAAAGAGCAAAAAAUUUAGAAGAUAUGCACAAAGUUCAUUAAAACCAUGAGACAAAAAA